rnacentral:lncRNA from 10 species
AAAGUGCUGGGAUUACAGGCGUGAGCCACCGCGCCCGGCUGCCUGAAUAAUUUUUUAAGAAGAAUUUUAUACGAACCUUCCUUUGCAGCAUGCAUACAUCAUAGUGAAGCGGUUUUGUUGUCUGUGGUAAAUACCCGGGGUUUGUCCUGCCAUGCCAGGAAAAUUUAGGACACAGACACACAUGAGGAGUUUAGGAGCAGAGGCUUAAUAGGCAGAAGAAAGAGAAAGGAGAACAGUUCUCUCUCCAGUGAGAGAGAAGUGCUGCGGAGAGAAAAGACUGGUCGGCAGCAGAGUUCACUGGAUUUUAUAGGCAGGCUUGAGAAGGCAGUGUCUGAUUUACAUAGGGCUCACAGAUUGGUUCGAUCAGGUGUGAUGUUUACA